GACGAACGCUGGCGGCGUGCUUAACACAUGCAAGUCGAACGGGCCCGCUCUCUUUUUUGGGGGUGGGUUGAGUGGCGAACGGGUGAGUAUCACGUGAGUAACCUGCCCCCUGCUCCUGGAUAACUGCUUGAAAGGGCGGCUAAUACGGGGUGUGCCGGCUGGUCCGCAUGGGCCUGGUCGGGAUAGUUUCAUCUUCGGGUGUUUCGGUGGGGGAUGGGCUCGCGGCCUAUCAGCUUGUUGGUGGGGUGAUGGCCCACCAAGGCGGUGACGGGUAGCCGGCCUGAGAGGGUGGGCGGCCACACUGGGACUGAGACACGGCCCAGACUCCUGCGGGAGGCAGCAGUGGGGGGUAUUGCGCAAUGGGCGGAAGCCUGAUGCAGCGACGUCGCGUGAGGGAUGGAGGCCUUCGGGUGGUGAACCUCUUUCUCCGGUGGUGAAGGCCCUGUCCGUUGCGGCGGGGUUGACGGUAGCCGGGUAUGAAGCGCCGGCUAACUACGUG
rnacentral:rRNA from 1 species